rnacentral:rRNA from 1 species
UGAUAAUAAUUUAAGGUYUAAUCUGCUCAAUGAUAAUAUUAAAUAGCCGCAGUAUUUUGACUGUGCAAAGGUAGCAUAAUCAUUAGUUUCUUAAUUAGGAACUUGUAUGAAGGAUUGGACGAGAGAAUUUCUGUCUCAUUUUAAUAUUUAUUGAAUUUAACUUUUAAGUUAAAAGGCUUAAAUUAUAAUAAAAGACGAGAAGACCCUAUAGAGUUUUAUUUUAAUAAUAUAUUUAGUAUAAUUAUAUUAAUAAAAAAUUAGUUGGGGUGAUUGAAGGAUUAGAUUAACUCCUUUAAUAUUAAAUCAUUGAUUUAUGAAUUUAAAAUCUAUUAUAUUAAUUUUAAAUUAAAUUACCUUAGGGAUAACAGCGUAAUUUCUUAUUAGAGUUCUUAUCAAAUAAGAAGGUUACGACCUCGAUGUUGGAUUAAAAUUUAAUUUAGGUGUAGAAGCUUGAAUUUUAAGUCUGUUCGAC